rnacentral:tRNA from 1 species
GCGGACGUGGCGGAAUUGGCAGACGCGCCAGGUUUAGGACCUGGUGAGAGUGAUCUCGUGUGGGUUCAACUCCCACCGUCCGCA